AGAAGCGCUUGAUUUAACGUCUUUAGCCGGACGCAUCUUUCCUUUAAAUUUCUCUCGGCUCCAUUUGAACCUAAAAUCAAAGAAAGAAAAAUAAAUCAAAAUAUCAAAAGUAAAAUACACAAAACACCAAUAUAAACAUAAACAAAAACAAAAAUAAAAGGAUUAGCAAAGUUACUAAUCCCCGGCAACGGCGCCAAAAUUUGAUGCGUGAAUUACUUAACACACAAAUUAAACCCUCUUGUUGACAAUUGUAGUAUAGAUGUAAGUAGGGUAUCGUUCUAGGCCGGGGAUUAGGAGGGAUUGCUAAUCUAUUCUAAAUUAAUUUAAAAAUAUUAAACAAGACUCAAGGACACAAAACUAGGCUAAAAACUCUAAUAACUCGAAACACACUUAAAAUGACUCAAAAUAAUGAAAACAAUUAAAUUAAACACUAGGAACUGAAAUGGACGGAAAUUAAAUUAAAAGACUAACAAUAAAGAAAACUAAAUAAAUAAUAUAAUUUAAUAAUGGAUGGGUGUUUGGUUUUGAUGAAAAAUAAAUUAAACUUAAUUAAAUUACAGAAUUGACAAAAACAUGAAAUUAAGGUGAAAUGAUAAAUGACGGACUAGCUAGAGGGUUCUUCUCCACACAUGUUAUACUUGCAUACAAAAUGAUUUCCAGUUGUUCUUUUAAUAAAUUGUAAAUUUCAAUACUCCAGAUUAACCGUGAACAGCACUUUUUUAAUCUUCAAGUUUUCCUUAAGUUAUUGAAUUGGACGGGAAAACGCAUACACAAUUCAAAACAUUCUUCAAAAGUCCCCUACGUGAAAAGCACAAUAGAGAUACAAUCAAAGAUCAUUAAACUUUGUGAAAACUAUAAGCAUUGACGAGGCAUUCGUAACUAUGAAAAGCAUGAUACUCUUGCCAAGAAUUUACUUAACGUGAUUGUGACUAGCAACCUUUACUACUUGUGAAAAUAAGUUCAUAACGAUUAGGUGAAAUUCACUUAUAUUCUAGCAUCAAAUUCAUGCAUGUAAAUUAAGCGUGCACUCUCAACCAACAUACACAAAUCAGUUUUUAUACGAACGGAUAAGUAAAUUGAAUUCACAACUUAUAAAUCACAACUGAAGGUAAUCAAUUCAUAUUACAAAUAUAAUCAUGGUUUCGAAUUAACCUCUAACCAACAUAAAUUUAAUUACACAUUAUUAAAAACAGAAAUAAAAGAGAAGUUUGGAAAAAUUAAACCGAAAGUAAAACAUAAGUUGGAAAGAUUUAACCGAGAGAGAGAAGGCUUGCAGCUUCUGUCCACCUGACGUUGUCUCUGUCCUCCUCCCAUCCGCGCUACUCUCUCCUCCCGUCCGCGCAAGCUUUCUGUUUUUCAAGGCUGCAAGGGCAGCUUUUUCUUCUCUGACCCUCUCUUGGCUGUCCCGUAUAUAUUCCUCUGCAUGCCUUCCAAUCCCGUGCCUGCUGUCCUUUCCCACGCUGGUUCUCAAAACUCUCACGCUG
rnacentral:lncRNA from 1 species